rnacentral:rRNA from 1 species
GGCAGAGACAGCGUUGGAGCUCUCGAGUUUGAUCCAGGCACAUUGCUCCGGAUGUGUAAGGAGGACGGGAUAGAAAACAUGGGUAACCUGCCUGUAAGACUGGGAUAACUCCGGGAAACCGGAGCUAAUACCGGAUAGUUCCUUGAACCGCAUGGUUCAAGGAUGAAAGACGGUUUCGGCUGUCACUUACAGAUGGACCCGCGGCGCAUUAGCUAGUUGGUGGGGUAAUGGCUCACCAAGGCGACGAUGCGUAGCCGACCUGAGAGGGUGAUCGGCCACACUGGGACUGAGACACGGCCCAGACUCCUACGGGAGGCAGCAGUAGGGAAUCUUCCGCAAUGGACGAAAGUCUGACGGAGCAACGCCGCGUGAGUGAUGAAGGUUUUCGGAUCGUAAAGCUCUGUUGUUAGGGAAGAACAAGUGCGAGAGUAACUGCUCGCACCUUGACGGUACCUAACCAGAAAGCCACGGCUAACUACGUGCCAGCAGCCGCGGUAAUACGUAGGUGGCAAGCGUUGUCCGGAAUUAUUGGGCGUAAAGGGCUCGCAGGCGGUUUCUUAAGUCUGAUGUGAAAGCCCCCGGCUCAACCGGGGAGGGUCAUUGGAAACUGGGAAACUUGAGUGCAGAAGAGGAGAGUGGAAUUCCACGUGUAGCGGUGAAAUGCGUUUAGAUGUGGAGGAACACCAGUGGCGAAGGCGACUCUCUGGUCUGUAACUGACACUUAGGAGCGAAAACGUGGGGAAAGCACAGGUUAAUAUACGCUGGUACUCUCCUUACCAGGUCUUGACAUCCUUUGACAACCCCAGAGAUAGGGCUUUCCCUUUGGGGACAGAGUGACAGGUGGUGCAUGGUUGUCGUCAGCUCGUGUCGUGAGAUGUUGGGUUAAGUCCCGCAAAGAGCGCAACCCUUGAUCUUAGUUGCCAGCAUUCAGUUGGGCACUCUAAGGUGACUGCCGGUGACAAACCGGAGGAAGGUGGGGAUGACGUCAAAUCAUCAUGCCCCUUAUGACCUGGGCUACACACGUGCUACAAUGGACAGAACAAAGGGCUGCAAGACCGCAAGGUUUAGCCAAUCCCAUAAAUCUGUUCUCAGUUCGGAUCGCAGUCUGCAACUCGACUGCGUGAAGCUGGAAUCGCUAGUAAUCGCGGAUUUGCAUGCCUCGGUGAAUACGUUCCCGGGCCUUGUACACACCCCCCGUCCCUCCACGAGAGUUUGCAACACCCGAAGUAGGUGAUGUAACAGUAGGAGCCAGCCUCCUCAGAGGACACAGUAACAGAAAUGC